CAGCCAUUUGGUGUGUCUCAGCAAAUCCCGCUGAGUUCCGAGGCCGCCUAGGUAUGCAAUCCUGCUGAGAGUUGUUCCCAGGUCAGAGAAUGGAGAGAGCCUGUGCAUGAUGGGAUAUCCCUGCCUAGAUCUUUCAGUGAGUCUCUACCUCAGCUACUCUUAGGAUCAGGGGGAGAACCAUGGAAAGGCCCGGUGUCAGACAUCCGGAAAGAAGAGGGAUGAAUGUUUCACCUCUGAAGUACAUCCCAAAUGUGGGAGUUAACUUCAGCUUUGCUGGGGUCUACUUGGCCAGCGAAACUCUGCCUGGUUCAUUCGCACAUCCGGAAGCCACUUCACGGGGAGCCGUCGCAACCGGAACCACACACUUGGCAUCGGCGGUUGAGCCAAAUGGGGACUCGUGGUGCAAGCAACGCUCCCCACGUGUUAGCGUGCGUGAGAUUCAAUUGGCGGAAUUUUACUAGGUGCGUGUUGGUAGAGCGGGGCUGAGGUUUUCUUGCUCCUGUGGAUGUAUAGGAAGUCAAAGGUCCUGCCCAGCCCUGCGGUCCCCUCAGUCAACUCUGUUUCGGAGACAUAACGAUUUGGAUUGCUAACAAGUCAAGAAAUGUUCAAGUCCUUGGAUGUAGGGAAAAGAAAGAGAGAUCAGACUGUCACUGUGUCUAUGUCGAAAGGGAAGACAUAAGAGACUCUAUUUUGAAAAGGACCUGUACUUUAAACAAUUGCUUUGCUGAGAUGUUGUUCAUUUGUAGCUUUGCCCCAGCCACUUUGCCCCAGCCGCUUUGACCCAACUUGGAGCACACAAAAACCUAUGUUGUAUAAAAUCAAGGUUUAAGGGAUCUAGGGCUGUGCAGGACGUGCCUUGUUAACCAAAUGUUUACAAGCAGUAUACUUUGUAAAAGUCAUUGCCAUUCUCUAGUCUCAAUAAACCAGGGACACAAUGCACCGUGGAAAGCCGCAGGGACCUCUGCCCUUGAAAGCAGGGUAUUGUCCAAAGUUUCUCCCCAUGCGAUAGUCUGAAAUAUGGCCUCGUGGGAUGAGAAAGACCUGACUGUCCCCCAGCCUGACACCCGUAAAGCGUCUGUGCUGAGGUGUAUUAGUCAAAGAGGAAAGCCUCUUGCAGUUGACAUGGAGGAAGGCCACUGUCUCCUGCUUGCCCCUGGGAACUGAAUGUCUCGGUGUAAAACCCGAUCGUACAUUUGUUCAACUCUGAGCUAGGAGAAAAGCUGCCCUGUGGCGGGAGGCGAGACAUGUUGGCAGUAAUGCUGCCUUGUUAUUCUUUACUCCGCUGAGAUGUUUGGGUGGAGAGAGACAUAAAUCUGGCCUACGUGCACGUCCAGGCAUAGUACCUUCCCUUGAACUUAAUUAUGAUAUAGAUUCUUUUGCUCACAUGUUUUUUGUUGACCUCCUUAUUAUCACCCUGCUCUCCUAGUAUAUUCCUUUUUGCUGAAAUAAUGAAAAUCAUAAUCAAUAAAAACUGAGGGAACUCAGAGGCCGGUGCAGGUCCUUGGUGUGCUGAGUGCCGGUCCCCUGGACCCACUGUUGUUCCCCUA
rnacentral:lncRNA from 10 species